GUACAAAAUUCAAAGUCGUCUUGUUGAGUCUCAUUGUCUGUAACUUGCUUUCACCCAAAACCACAGCUCACAAUGGCCUGUCACCUUUAUCAUUGUCACUUUGUGUCUAU